AUUGAACGCUGGCGGCAUGCCUUACACAUGCAAGUCGAACGGUAACAGGUCUUCGGAUGCUGACGAGUGGCGAACGGGUGAGUAAUACAUCGGAACGUGCCCGAUCGUGGGGGAUAACGAAGCGAAAGCUUUGCUAAUACCGCAUAAGAUCUACGGAUGAAAGCAGGGGACCGCAAGGCCUUGCGCGAACGGAGCGGCCGAUGGCAGAUUAGGUAGUUGGUGGGAUAAAAGCUUACCAAGCCGACGAUCUGUAGCUGGUCUGAGAGGAUGAUCAGCCACACUGGGACUGAGACACGGCCCAGACUCCUACGGGAGGCAGCAGUGGGGAAUUUUGGACAAUGGACGCAAGUCUGAUCCAGCCAUUCCGCGUGCAGGAUGAAGGCCCUCGGGUUGUAAACUGCUUUUGUACAGAACGAAAAGGCUCUGGUUAAUACCUAGGGCUCAUGACGGUACUGUAAGAAUAAGCACCGGCUAACUACGUGCCAGCCGCCGCCGUAA
rnacentral:rRNA from 1 species